rnacentral:rRNA from 1 species
GACGGAGGAUGCAAGCGUUAUCCGGAAUGAUUGGGCGUAAAGCGUCCGCAGGUGGCAGUUCAAGUCUGCUGUCAAAGACCGGGGCUUAACUUCGGAAAGGCAGUGGAAACUGAACAGCUAGAGUAUGGUAGGGGCAGAGGGAAUUCCUGGUGUAGCGGUGAAAUGCGUAGAUAUCGGGAGGAACACCGGUGGCGAAGGCGGCCUUCUGGACGGAUACUGACGCUGAGACGCGAAAGCGUGGGGAGCAAACAGG